rnacentral:piRNA from 1 species
UGAUGAAACUCUGAGGUAUUUUCAGGAUAGC